AUAGCUCAAUGGUAGAGCACUAGCCUUGUAAGCCAUAGGUGUGUGGUUCGAUUCCCAGCU
rfam:Daphnia pulex DAPPTscaffold_201_Cont7038, whole genome shotgun sequence.